GCACGUCCGGCGCGGUCGGUGUGUGCGGAGUGCCCGGCCCGGCCAUGCCCGCCGGCGUGCCCUGGCCCACGUACCUGCGGGCGCUGGCCGCCAGCAUGCUGGCCAUGUUCGCGGGGGCCGAGGUCGUGCACAGAGCAUACCUGAAAUACCUCCUAAGCCUGGAGAACUGAGAACAGAACUGUUGGGUCUAAAAGAAAGACCAAGCAAAGUUCGGACUUCACAACAGUGACCAGAAGUUACUUCCGUUAUGAAAACUAGGACUGAUAAAAUAUUUAUUCAACUGUUUAAGUUGCAGAAAUAUGUAUGUGAAAUACUGUACUGCCUUAAUGCUUUUUUGCUUUCCUUUAAGCAGUUUCAGGCAGCAUUUAAAAUAAACGUACAAUGAGUACUGUUGUUAAAAGUCCAGUUGGUUGUGUGCCAAAAUAGUUGUGACUUCUUAAAUCUGGAUUGCAGUGUAACUAUCCUUCAGAAUAAAGGGUUAAACCAUGACAAA